ensembl:snRNA U2 U2 spliceosomal RNA
UUCUCUGAUUUUAAGCACUGAGUGGACUAUAAAAAAAAAAAAAAAAAAAAAAAAAAAAAAAAAAAAAAAAAAAAAUCUGUUCUUAUCAGUUUAAUAUCUGAUACGUCCCCUAUCUGGGGACCAUAUAUUAAAUGGAUUUUUGGAACAGGGAGAUGGAAGAAGAGCUUGCUCUGUCCACUCCACGCAUCGACCUGGUAUUGCAGUACCUCCAGGACCGGUGCACCUCUC